GCAGGAGCCCGGGAGGCCUUUCGCCCGAGGCGGGCUGCGGGCUGCUGGGGUCUGGUGCGGAGGGCCAACUUCUGGGAAUAACCUGGCUGUGGGCUUAAAAAUCGUAGUCAUUCAUUAUCACGGGCUUCUCUCUCUCGAAUACCUUUAACAUUUAUCGCCUUGUUAGUCUCCACAUCCACCUCCGUGAAAGAGAUGGAGUCUCGCUAUAUUUCCCAGUCUGGCCUCAAACUCCUGAUCUUAAGGGAUCCCCAGCUCAACCUCUCCCAGCAGCUGGGACUACCGGGCUGUCAAAUUUACAUUAACUAUGAGAAUUAAGCAGGAAUUCUCAAGGGUCUCUUUGGAGGCUUACCAAGGACAUCCAGCUGCACAGUGAAGGUGGCUUCUCCUGCUCUAUUCUUGGCAACACAUGCAUAAGCCCCUGCAUCUGAAGCUCUGACUACUUCAAAGAUGAGUGAAUGAAGACCCUUCUCAGACACUAUCAUUUUGUGCAAAUCAUCUGAUUGAACUGUUCUUCCAUUUAGAUACCAUGACACAUCAGGAGCUGGCAGUCCACUCACCUAGAAAGAAAAACACAAGGAGAUGGCAGAAUUUUAAAGUAUUGCAUCACUGAAACCUAUUUGUCCAUAUAUGAAUUUAAACAGUUCCCGUAUCUGAGUGGGUUUGCGAUUGAAAUGCAAAGCAAGAGCUCAAAAGUAUUUAUAAUUUUUUAAACAAAACAUUGGAAAUAAGAUCCUUGAAAUUAACAUAGUAUUUUUAGACUGUCUCAAACCAUAACUCUUUUACAUGCAACCUCAGUCUCUUUAUGAACUCUUAAUUUCUAUAUUUAGAACAUUAAUUUAUGUUACAUUGGUUUCCAUAAGGAAUAUAGAAGUCAUUGCUUUUCUGGCUAAAUGUGACUGCAAAUGAAGUCCCAGAGGCACAUAUAUAUGAGGCUUCCUGAUCUAAUGCGUAAUUUUUCUAAAACAGAGUGUUCUUGAGCUAUAGUUUGGCAUAUAAAUGGCAAUUUGUUAAGUGUUUUUACAUAAACUGUUAACAGUGGAAUCCAAAGCUUUAACACUAACUUGAGUUCAUAAGGAAUCUGGAAAAAAAAUUUUAUAAGGAAAAGUUCUCCAAAAUAAGGAUAAUAAAAAUAUAACCUCUUCUAAAGA
rnacentral:lncRNA from 10 species